UACUCAAAACAUGAGGUCAUCAAAGACAAGGAAAGUCUGAGAAACUAUCACAGCCAAGAGAAGCCUAAGGAAACAUGACCACUACAUGUAAUGUGGUAUCCUGGAUGGGAUUCUAGAACAGAAAAAAGACAUUAGUCAAAAACUAAUGAAUUC